UUCUAAGGGCGGUGAAGUCAGACCGGAAGGACUGGUGGAGCGCUUAGAAGUGAGAAUGCCGGUAUGAGUAGCGAAAGAAGGGUGAGAAUCCCUUCCACCGAAUAUCUAAGGUUUCCUGAGGAAGGCUCGUCCGCUCAGGGUUAGUCGGGACCUAAGCCGAGGCCGAUAGGCGUAGGCGAUGGACAACAGGUAGAGAUUCCUGUACCAGUGCUAAUUGUUUAACCGAUGGGGUGACACAGAAGGAUAGGGAAUCGCACGAAUGGAAAUGUGCGUCCAAGCAGUGAGUGUGAGAAGUAGGCAAAUCCGCUUCUCGCGAAGCAUGAGCUGUGAUGGGGAAGGAAAUUAAGUACGGAAGUUCCUGAUUUCACGCUGUCAAGAAAAGCCUCUAGGAAGAGUAGUACUGCCCGUACCGCAAACCGACACAGGUAGAUGAGGAGAGAAUCCUAAGGUGAGCGAGAGAACUCUCGUUAAGGAACUCGGCAAAAUGACCCCGUAACUUCGGGAGAAGGGGUGCUCUAUUAGGGUGCAAGCCCGAGAGAGCCGCAGUGAAUAGGCCCAGGCGACUGUUUAGCAAAAACACAGGUCUCUGCAAAACCGUAAGGUGACGUAUAGGGGCUGACGCCUGCCCGGUGCUGGAAGGUUAAGAGGAGUGCUUAGCUUCGGCGAAGGUACGAAUUGAAGCCCCAGUAAACGGCGGCCGUAACUAUAACGGUCCUAAGGUAGCGAAAUUCCUUGUCGGGUAAGUUCCGACCCGCACGAAAGGCGCAACGAUCUGGGCACUGUCUCAACGAGAGACUCGGUGAAAUUAUAGUACCUGUGAAGAUGCAGGUUACCCGCGACAGGACGGAAAGACCCCGUGGAGCUUUACUGCAACCUGAUAUGGAAUGUUUGUACCGCUUGUACAGGAUAGGUAGGAGCCGAAGAGACGUGUGCGCUAGCAUACGAGGAGGCAAUGGUGGGAUACUACCCUGGCUGUAUGACCAUUCUAACCCGCCACGCUUAGCGCGUGGGGAGACAGUGUCAGGUGGGCAGUUUGACUGGGGCGGUCGCCUCCUAAAGAGUAACGGAGG
rnacentral:rRNA from 1 species